rnacentral:lncRNA from 1 species
UCCUGUGAUUGUGUGCGCAGCCCUGGGCUGCAGCCUCUUGGGCCCCGCGCAGUCUUCCCAGGGCUCUCUUGCUGCCCUGCCCCUGCCCCACGUCCUUCCCAGCCCUCGCCUCCUUGCGCUCGCCCGCUGCGAGCGGGCAGCUCGGCCCCCGCGCUCCAGGCCCAGCCCUGCUCCCCAGCCUGGGGGCAGCCCAGCAGGCGGCACGCUYUUGCCCCACUUGCUCAGGCGCAUCCUGCCCCUGCACGGCACUCCCCACGCGACCCCUGCCCACCACCUGCCACCCCCAGCGCAGGCGCCCGGCGCUCCGAGGCCCUCUCUCRCGGCACGCGCAAAGCACACUCCAACACACCCAGCUGGGCACCCAGCACCUCUUAUUCUGCGUUUGCUCUGCAGGCCCCGGCAGCCCCAGUCCUACAGAGACGCGAGGCUGCCAGGCGCCUGUCAGGAGGGCAGCAGCCCCUUGCUGUGCACGGCCAGGUUCUCGGCCAGCAAGUACGCCAGGCGCGUGUAGCUCUGCUCGGGCAAGAUCCACAGCAGCAGGCGGUAGAGCAGCUCUCAGUCGCACGGGGAGGCGUAGAGCACCACGGCGUACAGCACACACACCGCCAGCAGCUCCGGGCACACGAAGAGCGCGCAGAGUCUCCUGCGGGACAGUGGAAGCAUGGCAGACGCAGCAGGCCACGCAGGGCACCCCAGCCCUGUCUGUCCCGCACCCAGCCCUGCGACCCAGGGGCCCCUGCAGGGAAAGGGACCCUCCCUCUGCCGCCCGGGCGCUGCUCGUCACUCCCUCGCGCAGGCUUGCGAAAGAGCUGCCGCACGCCCACGGAAAAGGCGGCCUGGCGCAAGGGCAACCCUCCCGCCGUGGCUUUCCCAGCUGCAAAGCCCACAGCCCGGGAGCAGGACAUGCAGUGCAGGGCCCGCUCGCUGUGCAGCAGCCCGGACAUGGGCCCUGGCACACAAGGCACCCGCGGGCUACUCACUUCAGCCAGGUGGCGAGGCCACCUCUCUCGGCCAGCUCCUCCCUCUCCUGCACGYCAACAGAGAGCGGGCACACGUGUGCGGCUGCACGGGGCUGCACGCUGCCCCUCUCCCCAGCGAGACCCUGCCGGCUGGCCAGCUGUGGCAGCCCUUGCUGCUGCCUCUUGCCCUUACCAGCUGGGCUUCCAGCAGCUCCGGCAGCACACACCCCUCCGCCUGGGGCUCCUGCUCCGUCUGCUGCUUGCUGCGGGCAACGGGGCUUGCUUGGAGGAGCACGCACUCCACGGCCACUGGCGCUCCCCAUCGCAACACAGCCCUGCCCCCCGGCGUCUCCUGUCCCACCACGCGCUGCACAGACCCCCCAUGCCCUCCCCGUCACCGCCGCUGAUACCCGCUGGCACUCCUGCUGCAGAGCCCUGUGGGCAGAGCGCUCCCCGGGCCCCACUCACUAGGCRUUUUCCAGCUCCAGCUCCUCCACCUGCUCUCGCAGACACCCGAUUUCUGCACGCAGUGCCUGCC